CCUACGGGUGGCAGCAGUGAGGAAUAUUGGUCAAUGGACGAGAGUCUGAACCAGCCAAGUAGCGUGAAGGAUGACUGCCCUAUGGGUUGUAAACUUCUUUUAUAUGGGAAUAAAACGUUCCACGUGUGGGAUUUUGUAUGUACCAUAUGAAUAAGGAUCGGCUAACUCCGUGCCAGCAGCCGCGGUAAUACGGAGGAUCCGAGCGUUAUCCGGAUUUAUUGGGUUUAAAGGGUGCGUAGGUGGAUUGUUAAGUCAGUUGUGAAAGUUUGCGGCUCAACCGUAAAAUUGCAGUUGAAACUGGCAGUCUUGAGUACAGUAGAGGUGGGCGGAAUUCGUGGUGUAGCGGUGAAAUGCUUAGAUAUCACGAAGAACUCCGAUUGCGAAGGCAGUUCACUGGACUGCAACUGACACUGAGGCUCGAAAGUGUGGGUAUCAAACAGGAUUAGAUACCCUUGUAGUC
rnacentral:rRNA from 1 species